UCGUCAUCUUCUUCAUCGCGUACCUGUUCAUCUAGUUCAUCCGGUAAGGUUGUGUAUUUAAAGGAGUUUGCUCAACUAGGGGAGAAGUUGGAGGGUUUGAUUGGAGUUGGCAAGGAGCGGGUGGAAUUGGGGAAGAAACGGAUUGAUUAUGAACUACAAAAAAUCAACAUGAAACAAGAUGAACAAUAUAACAAAGAUAUGUCAAGGUUGGCAAUGGACACGUCACGACUUAAUGAAGUCGAUAGGGUGGCGGUGGAGACUAUGAAACAAAGGAUCCGCGAAAAAUAUAACCUGGUUUGAAGUGUUCGAUUUGGAAGAAAAAUUCAAAGGUUUGAAUACUGUACGAGAUUUCAGGAAGAUCAUUAUCUGAACCAACACCAUGACUGCCAUGACUUUUGAGAGUUAAUUCAAAACCAACACCAUGACUGCCAUGCUGAGUUACUGACUCGAGUUCUCGGAUUUGAACUUUAUUAAAUAUCAAAG